rnacentral:rRNA from 1 species
CCUACGGGAGGCAGCAGUGGGGAAUUUUUGGACAAUGGGCGCAAGCCUGAUCCAGCCAUGCCGCGUGAGUGAAGAAGGCCUUCGGGUUGUAAAGCUCUUUCGGCCGGGAAGAAAUCGUGUUCUCUAACAUAGGACAUGGAUGACGGUACCGGACUAAGAAGCACCGGCU